rnacentral:rRNA from 1 species
CAGCCGCCGCGGUAAUACGGAGGGUGCAAGCGUUAAUCGGAAUUACUGGGCGUAAAGCGCACGCAGGCGGUCUGACAAGUCAGAUGUGAAAUCCCCGGGCUUAACCUGGGAACUGCAUUUGAAACUGUCAGGCUGGAGUCUUGUAGAGGGGGGUGGAAUUCCAGGUGUAGCGGUGAAAUGCGUAGAGAUCUGGAGGAAUACCGGUGGCGAAGGCGGCCCCCUGGACAAAGACUGACGCUCAGGUGCGAAAGCGUGGGGAGCAAACAGGAUUAGAUACCCCAGUUAGUCCCUGUCUCUUAUA